GUAGGAUGAAUGGGCGUAACUUCUAAACCAAAACAAAAACGGCCGAUCAAUUUGGGCGAAACUUGCAAGCGCAAGCGAAAUUAGGUGCGCUUGCAAAACCACUACAAUUGCAUUGCCAAUUUCAUAUCGUCACUAUCUGGUCAUUGAACAUACGUAAUGUUGUUGUUAUGCUUACCCUACCACGAUAUGCCGCGAAAAUGUAAACAUGAGAAAUCAGCUGUUCGUCUGACAAGUGGGGAAAUGCCUUGUUGUGGGAGGUAACUUUUGGACCCUCCGAAGUCUGCGCGGAAGCAUUUGGGGACGACCAGACGACAGGUGCUGAUGAAGAUUCCAAAAUGUGGAUACCGGAAGAUUGUCAAAAGCACAGCAAAAUGGAACAUCCAGAAGGUGCAAUGGUUCUUGAACAUCGGAAGAUUCAGGCGAGGCCGAUGAAAGCACGGCUGCAGGUGGCCACGAGACCAAACCGGCAAAAUCUCACCGGAGGAAGACGAUGGCGUACUCUAAUAAUGGUGGCCGGAAAGAUACGAUGUGUAACCAACAGCAACACUAGCCAGUUUCCCGAUUGAUGUACCUCUCCGUCACCGAAGAAUAAUUAGACGCAGCAGCACAUGCUAUCUUCGCGUAUGGAGUGUUUUUUUUUAUAAAAUGUAAUCUUCGGAAGGUGCAAAAUAAUUUAUGAAUAAAUAAACGAAAUUUUGUUUCGUAAUUGUAAUCUUUUAAUCAAAACUACACGAAAAGCAGUAUCGUUUUUUUUUCUUAUGAGACGAUCAUUUAGUAAAGAUUCCACAUAUCAUCUAACUCGCUUCAAAACGAGUAGAAAAAAGCAAAAAAAUUGAAUGGUUACUCUACUUAACGACCCGUUCCCUGUAUCGUAAAGUGCGUCCAAACGAUUCCAUUUCAUGAAAAAAUGAUAAGCCUUAUCUUACAUUAAUAAUCCAAAACUAUAGAAGUAAUAUUUUGGGUGUCUUGGGAAGAAGAUAAUGGGAAUAGUUAUUGUAUAAUACUGAUUUAUGCGGGAUAUUUAUCAUUAAAAAAUAUCAAUUUUUGAACGAAUUUUUGUUUGUUUUAUUUUUAUUGAAGAUAUCCAACCAAACCAGCUAACAUACACCUUUUAAAUCAGAGAAUGGGAAAAUGAUAUUAUUUACUAUUUUGCUAGGUGAAUGCGAAAAAGGUAGAUUCUACUUUUUUUGCUAUAGGUGAAUUAAAAAAGGUAAAAUUUACCAUUUUGCUAGGUGAAUGAAAAAAGGUAAAAUUUACCGAGAAAGCUGGGUGGAAAAAAAAUCACCUCGCAAAAAGAUAAAUUUUACCUUUUUUUUAUUUUCCGUGUAUCAAUUGCAAAACUCUCUCAUAUAGACUGAAAUUUUUUUAAAUAAUGAUCAUUCAUGAAACAAAAUUUGAUACCUGCU